rnacentral:ncRNA from 1 species
GAGCGCCCGGUGCCUUGAAAGGGGCACGCCGGGUGCGGGAAGCGGCUCGGGGAAACGGAUCGGCCACAUCGGCCGAUACCGCGCCCCGGGCCGACUUCAC